rnacentral:misc_RNA from 1 species
UGGUUCUGGCAUCGCUGAAGAACGCAGCGAAAUGCGAUAAGUAAUGUGAAUUGCAGAAUUUUGUGAAUCAUCGAAUCUUUGAACGCACAUUGCACCUUUUGGUAUUCCGAGAGGUAUGCUUGUUCGAGCGUCGUUUAGACUAUAUUGAAUGUAUUUUGGUAACACAAUAUAUGAUCAAUGUCUUGGAUGUUUAUCCUCUGUAACAAGAAGAUAUAUCCUAAAAGAAAUGAAUAGCGAUCUAAGAAAAAUAAGAUUUAAUCGAAACGCAUUAAAGUUUUACUACUACGUUUUCACCUUUAGAAUCUACAUUUUCUUGAGCAGCCAAAAUAAGAUCUUGAUUUUGUAAAAGAAAUCAAUACCCAUUUCAUAAAUCGACCUCGGAUCAAGUAGGAUUACCCGCUGA